rnacentral:rRNA from 1 species
GAGGAAGUAACCUGGGCAUAUCAAUAAGCGGAGGAGGUCUUGGUUCUUGGGGCCAGCUUUUGCGGAGGCUGAAAUAUUUUUCACCAAUGUCUUUUGCGCACUUGUUGUUUCCUGGGCGGGUUUCGCCCGCCACCAGGACCACACCAUAAACCUUUUUUAUGCAGUUGCAAUCAGCGUCAGUAUAACAAAUGUAAAUCAUUUACAACUUUCAACAACGGAUCUCUUGGUUCUGGCAUCGAUGAAGAACGCAGCGAAAUGCGAUACGUAGUGUGAAUUGCAGAAUUCAGUGAAUCAUCGAAUCUUUGAACGCACAUUGCGCCCUUUGGUAUUCCAAAGGGCAUGCCUGUUCGAGCGUCAUUUGUACCUUCAAGCUUUGCUUGGUGUUGGGCGUCUUUUUUUUGUCUUGGGCCUUUUUGUGCCCUGAGACUCGCCUUAAAACGAUUGGCAGCCGGCCUACUGGUUUCGGAGCGCAGCACAUUUUUGCGCUUGCAAUCAGCA